GUUAAUGUGUGCAUACGAAUUAAAUGGCUUCGGGAUAAUCUAUAUUGUCAAACAAACUUUAGUUCCUGUUCAAAUCUCAUUAGUUUUGAUAGAGGAUCACAUAACAUAGUAAUCAUAUAAAAAGAUCAAUUAUUAACAUAAAUGAUACGAUCUUUAAGGCUGAAUUAUUAAAUGGCACCUCUGGCCUUUUUGAAAAUACAAAAUACCAAUUAUUUAUUUUCACAGAAAUUUAA
rnacentral:lncRNA from 1 species